GUAUAUCUGAACUCCUACCAACACGCCGCGAUUUGCUCUCUCCAAUCUCGUGCUAGCGGACCACCGCAGUUACUCAUUGCUGUCUACUUUUUUGGCAAAUUAUGAAGGCUCAAUAGUCAACUCCGCUCAUUGCACUGAUCACCUUCUCCACUCCUGUUGCCCGACCCGGCGUCAGCUCCUGAUACUUCUGGUUCCGGGAAUUAUUGUCCACACCCCAGUCGACCCGCUGCAUUGCAAAGAUGAGCUACGUUAAGAAAGAUGAAGAUGCUGAUCAAAUAAUGAUGAAGUUGGAUAGGACUUCUGUUUUCCAAGAUGCACGAUUAUUCAAUUCCUCGCCUAUAUCACCGCGAAAAUGUCGGACACUACUUACCAAAAUCGCCGUCUUGCUCUUCACCGGGGAGAAGUUCCCGACGAACGAGGCUACGACGUUGUUCUUUGGCAUCUCGAAACUUUUCCAGAACAAGGAUCCUUCGCUGCGACAAAUGGUAUAUCUGAUCUUGAAGGAGUUGGCCGGCACGGCAGAUGAUGUUAUCAUGUCUACUUCCAUAAUUAUGAAGGAUACUUCCGUUGGAAGCGACGUCCUCUACCGGGCUAAUGCUAUUCGAGCAUUGUGCCGCAUUAUAGAUGCUACAACGGUUCAAGCGAUUGAGCGUCUGAUAAAAACCGCAAUUGUCGACAAAACUCCUUCAGUCUCGUCAGCCGCUCUUGUUUCCUCCUAUCAUCUCCUCCCCGUCGCUCGCGACGUUGUUCGAAGAUGGCAGAGCGAAGCCCAGGAGGCUGCUUCAUCAAGCAAACAGUCCACCAGUUUCCUUGGUUUCACGAGUGGACAAGCACACCCUAUCUCACAAACGAACUAUAUGACCCAAUAUCACGCAAUUGGUCUUCUUUAUCAGAUGCGUGCUCAUGACAGAAUGGCUUUGGUAAAGAUGGUUCAACAGUAUGGUGCAGCGGGCGCGGUCAAGAGCCCUGGUGCACUUGUGUUGCUUGUCAGGUUGGCUGCUCAAUUGGCAGAUGAGGACCAGAGCCUUCGAAAGCCGAUGAUGCAAAUGCUCGACGGUUGGCUUCGCCAUAAGCAUGAGAUGGUCAAUUUCGAGGCUGCCCGAGCAAUCUGCCAAAUGAGGGAUGUCACAGAUGCGGAAGCGUCCCAAGCGGUUCAUGUCCUCCAACUCUUUCUUUCGUCUCCUCGCCCCAUCACCAAGUUUGCUGCCAUCAGGACUUUGCACAGUUUGGCAUCCUUCAAGCCCAACGUUGUCAACCCAUGCAACCAAGAUAUUGAAGCCUUGAUAUCCAACAGUAAUCGAUCCAUUGCAACGUUUGCAAUUACGACGCUCCUUAAAACUGGCAAUGAAGCUAGCGUUGACCGUCUGAUGACCCAGAUUUCUGGAUUUAUGGCUGAUACUACCGACGAAUUCAAAAUCACAAUCGUUGAGGCUAUCAGAACACUCUGUCUUAAGUUCCCACACAAGCAAGCUGGCAUGCUUGCGUUCCUCAGCGGCAUACUCAGGGAUGAAGGCGGCUAUGAAUUUAAAAGAAGUGUAGUCGAGAGCAUGUUUGACCUUAUCAAAUUUGUCCCUGGAAGCAAAGAAGAUGCUCUCGCACAUCUCUGUGAAUUCAUUGAAGAUUGCGAAUUCACCAAGCUCGCAGUCAGGAUAUUACAUCUCCUAGGUGUUGAGGGACCCAAGACUUCACAACCGACGAAGUAUAUCCGGUAUAUCUAUAAUAGGGUCGUUUUGGAAAAUGCGGUAAUUCGUGCUGCUGCAGUGACGGCAUUGGCCAAAUUUGGUGUUGGCCAAAAGGACCCAGAGCUUAAGAGAAGUGUAAACGUUCUAUUGGCCCGAUGCUUGGAUGACACUGAUGACGAAGUCCGUGAUCGUGCGGCUCUUAACCUACGACUGAUGAAAGAGGAGGAUGAACUGGCGGAACGAUUUAUUAAAACCGAUUCGAUGUUUUCUUUGUCUACAUUUGAACAUCAACUCGUCAUGUAUGUUACUGCAACAGAUAAGGAAACUUUUGCGGCAGCGUUCGACCUCAACACCAUUCCAGUUGUAUCACAAGAGCAAGCCCUUGCUGAAGAGCGAACCAAGAAGCUUACGACUGCGACACCAACUCUCAAGGCCCCAUCUAUGACUCCAUCGAAGGCAAAAUCAACCGCUGGGGUCGAUGGAGUUGCUGCUGCUGCUGCUUCGACCCAAAAAUACGCAGAACAACUUGUCCAAAUACCGGAGCUCAAGGCUUACGGAACACUGCUCAAAUCAUCUACUCCUGUUGAACUAACCGAAAGUGAGACGGAGUAUGUCGUCAGCGCUGUUAAACAUAUCUUUAAGGAACAUAUUGUCUUGCAAUAUGAUAUCAAAAACACGUUCAUCGUGCCAGCGCCGAAACUUAUGACAAAUGAACCCGGAAUAGUUUAUGUUGCUUUUAAGAAACUUGGAGGAGAACAUAAUUUCCCUGUAACGUCAUUUACGAACAACCUGAAGUUCACUAGCAAAGAAAUCGAUCCUACUACUGGCGAUCCGGAAGAGACUGGCUACGAGGAUGAAUAUCAAGUUGAAGAUUUAGAUCUAAUUGGUAGUGACUAUGUCAUUCCUGCCUUUGCUGGAAGCUUCGAUCACGUCUGGGAACAAACUGGUGCGAACGGUGAAGAAGCUAGCGAAACACUCCAACUUUCCAACGUGAAAGGUAUUGAAGAUGCAACCGAGCAACUUGUUGCAACACUAUCACUUCAACCACUCGAGGGCACAGACGUGGUCCUCAACAAUACGACACAUGCACUUAAAUUGUACGGCAAGACUGUUUCUGGCGGUAGAGUGGCAGCCUUGGUGAGAAUGGCAUAUUCGGCCAAAUCCGGUGUGACGACCAAAGUAACUGUUCGUGCCGAAGAAGAAGGCGUUGCUGCGACAGUCGUCGCAUCUGUUGCCUGAUUCAAACCCAAUCAUCUUUGAUACCUUUGAAAAUUGCGCCUAUCGACUUUUGGUAGAUAAUUCAUACCCGUUUGCUACUCCUCCCCCCCCUUCCGCCCCCCUUCCACUUCUUCUUCUCUACCUGUCAGCUCUCUGACGCAUACAUUUCUCUCGAUGGGAGGUUCCCAGCGCUUUUAAAUGUGAUGCGUGGUGUUCGUGGAAGAAACCCUACAUAUAUCGUUGCCUUCCAUGCUCGUAACAUGUCUUCUGUAGAUUGAGAGCAAUCUCUUUCUUCUCCCACCAUAUCUUUCUCGUCAACUACAUGUUUCCUGUUUGCGUGUUCCCGUUUUUUCCUUGCCUUUAUAUUUGAUAUUCUCUUUUUUAAACAGUAAUCACGGGCUUUCUCAAGGCUAGAACAACCACAUCACACUAGUUUCAAAAAUUUAAGGUGAAGCUUUUAUUUUCUGUCUAUCCAUUCCAUGCAUACCUACUUCUAUAAAAUAUGAUAUCUAGAAGCUCGCCGAAAAUCAUUGGGUUCUUCAUCGCGGUAAUAGCUCACGAAAUGCUAUGAAAUAUGAUAUAAGCCAAGUUAAAUAUUCCAAAAUCGCUGAGUCCAUAAGUUUACACCGAAAGCCCAGUCCCGUAUAAAACUAUUAACCAAAAUGAUAAACUCCAACAGGGAUAUCUCCACUCUCAAUCUCAUCCCGAGAGUGACCUGCUCUCUGAGCGUUACGCCUCAACAACUCAUCGAGUUCGUCAUCAGACACGAUCCUCAGCCUAGAUGGAUGAGAUUCAUGUAACCCAAGCAAUCGAAGGUUCCUUAACCCCCCAUCCAGCGCAUGAAGAAAAUCUUCCUUCGAAAAGUCUGGAAAUCCCUGGGAUUGCUCAAAGGCGAGGAUCUCUAAUGGUAGCGGCCAAGGCAACGAAGCGAGGGUAUGGAAGAACGGCGGUUUGGCCAAAUCCCCCUGGAUCGAAAGGUAAUGCAAGUUGGGAAUAGAAUGAAGUAGAAGCUCAGCAUGCUGAGGCGUGUAAUGCAUUUCAUAUGGGAUUCUCAAGCUUUUCAAGUGGGUGCGCAGAUAGGAAUUGUUCAGGACGGCUGGUAUCAAUGCUGGAUCUUUGAGGGCUUUCCCUGCUAGCGUUAGGCUGGAGAGCUUCGGCGGCCAGUCGAAUGUGAGAAUUGUGGUACGAUCAAGCGUUCCGCUGAUUUCAAGCGUUCUGAGAUUUGGUGGCCAGGACAGGUGACUUGCUACCGUAGUGAUGUUUGUGCUCCUGGGUAAGCGCAGACGACGGAGAUUAUCCAGGUGUUGGAGAGCCUUCUUGAUGGCUUCGAAUUCGAUUUUUCUGAUUACGUGUAAUAAAUCUAUGGAGCGAAGCUUUUUGCAUUUGGAAAGAGUGACGAGGUUAAUUGCCGAAAAACCGCUUGCCGGCGCAAUAAAAACCUCAACAUUGUCUUUAACUCGUCCC
rnacentral:sRNA from 1 species